rnacentral:sRNA from 1 species
CGUGCAUUACCUGGCCGUGGUCCUGCUGGAGCUGCGCCAGCUCCAGCCUCAGUUCACGCUCAAAGUCGUGCGCUCCACCGACGGCGCCAGCCGCUUCUACAAUGUUGGCCAUCUCAGAAAACAGCACCAACAACUCCACUGGCCAGUCUCGGGCUGUGAUCGCAGCGGCAGCUCGGAGGCGGGACAACAGUCACAAUGAGUACUACUAUGAGGAGGCUGAGCAUGAGCGAAGGGUGCGCAAGAGGAGGGCCAGGCUUGUAGUGGCGGUGGAGGAGGCCUUCACUCACAUUAAGCGGCUGCAGGAAGAGGAGCAGAAGAACCCCAGGGAGGUGAUGGACCCCCGGGAGGC